rnacentral:rRNA from 1 species
ACACGACUACAUUAGAUACCCGCGUAGUCCUAGCCGUAAACGAUACUCGCUAGGUGUCGGCCACGGUGCGACCGUUGUCGGUGCCGUAGGGAAGCCGUGAAGCGAGUCACCUGGGAAGUACGGCCGCAAGGCUGAAACUUAAAGGAAUUGGCGGGGGAGCACAACAACGGGUGGAGCUUGCGGUUUAAUUGGAUUCAACGCCGGAAAUCUUACCGGGACCGACAGCAACAUGAAGGCCAAGCUGAAGACUUUGCCGGAUUAGCUG